ACGCUGGCGGCGUGCCUAAUACAUGCAAGUAGAACGCUGAAGCUUGGUGCUUGCACCGAGCGGAAGAGUUGCGAACGGGUGAGUAACGCGUAGGUAACCUGCCUCUUAGUGGGGGAUAACUAUUGGAAACGAUAGCUAAUACCGCAUAAAAGUCGACAUUGCAUGAUGUUGACUUGAAAGGUGCAACUGCAUCACUAAGAGAUGGACCUGUGUUGUAUUAGCUAGUUGGUGAGGUAACGGCUCACCAAGGCGACGAUACAUAGCCGACCUGAGAGGGUGAUCGGCCACACUGGGACUGAGACACGGCCCAGACUCCUACGGGAGGCAGCAGUAGGGAAUCUUCGGCAAUGGACGGAAGUCUGACCGAGCAACGCCGCGUGAGUGAAGAAGGUUUUCGGAUCGUAAAGCUCUGUUGUAAGAGAAGAACGAGUGUGAGAGUGGAAAGUUCACACUGUGACGGUAACUUACCAGAAUGGGACGGCUAACUACGUGCCAGCAGCCGCGGUAAUACGUAGGUCCCGAGCGUUAUCCGGAUUUAUUGGGCGUAAAGCGAGCGCAGGCGGUUAGAUAAGUCUGAAGUUAAAGGCUGUGGCUUAACCAUAGUACGCUUUGGAAACUGUUUAACUUGAGUGCAGAAGGGGAGAGUGGAAUUCCAUGUGUAGCGGUGAAAUGCGUAGAUAUAUGGAGGAACACCGGUGGCGAAAGCGGCUCUCUGGUCUGUAACUGACGCUGAGGCUCGAAAGCGUGGGGAGCAAACAGGAUUAGAUACCCUGGUAGUCCACGCCGUAAACGAUGAGUGCUAGGUGUUGGGUCCUUUCCGGGACUCAGUGCCGUAGCUAACGCAUUAAGCACUCCGCCUGGGGAGUACGACCGCAAGGUUGAAACUCAAAGGAAUUGACGGGGGCCCGCACAAGCGG
rnacentral:rRNA from 1 species